rnacentral:rRNA from 1 species
UACGUAGGCAGCGAGCGUUGUUCGGAAUUAUUGGGCGUAAAGAGUGUGUAGGCGGUGCUCCAAGUCUGUUGUGAGAGUCUCCCGGCUUAACUGGGAGGGUGCGGCGGAAACUGGAAUGCUAGAGGGUGGGAGAGGUAAGCGGAAUUCCUGGUGUAGCGGUGAAAUGCGUAGAUAUCAGGAGGAACACCGGUGGUGUAAACGGCUUUCUGGACCAUAACUGACGCUGAGGCACGAAAGCCGUGGGUAGCAAACAGG